rnacentral:snoRNA from 1 species
AUGUCGAGUAUAGAGUCUCUGGCAUUCUUAUUUAGUUUGCUGGUGCUAGAUUAACUCGUAGAUGAUAUCUCUGCCUGAUACCUGGAACUAGUGUUUUUCACAAGUCAUAUGGACUCAUGGGUUAAGGGUACAUUCUU